rnacentral:rRNA from 1 species
ACUAACUAUAAGCCCUAAACCAUAUCAAAUUAACUAAUUAUCAACUCAACCUAAAUCAUUUUAAUUAUCCUAGUAUAGGUGAUAGAAAAGACAUAAUAGGAGCUAUAGCUUAUAGUACCGCAAGGGAAAAAAUGAAAGAUAAAAUUAUAGUAAAUAAAAGCAAAGAUUAACUCUUGUACCUUUUGCAUAAUGAUUUAGCCAGUCAACACGGACAAAAAGAAUUAUGCCCGAUAUCCCGAAAUUAAGUGAGCUACUAUAAAACAGUUAUAAGAACCAACUCAUCUAUGUAGCAAAAUAGUGAGAAGAUUUUAUAGUAGAAGUGAAAAACCUAUCGAACUUAAUGAUAGCUGGUUAUCCAAAAAAAGAAUUUAAGUUCAACUUUAAGUCCUAUUACAAUGCCUAUUCAAAGCAUACAAUAAGCUUAAAAGUUAGUCAAAGAAGGGACAACUCCUUUGACCAAGUAUACAAACUAUAUUAGAGGGUAAUAAUCAAUAAACCCCCAUCGUUGGCUUAAAGGCAGCCAUCAACUAAGAAAGCGUUAAAGCUCAAACCCAUAUUUCAAUUUAAUCCCAUAAAAAAAUUAAAACCCCUAAAACACUAUUGGAUGAUUCUAUAAGACUAUAGAAUACAUAAUGCUAAAAUUAGUAAUAAGAACCCUGUUCUCCUCGCACAAGCCUAAGUUAGAAUAACGGAUGCCCCACUAAUAAUUAACAAAAUCAUAAUAAUAUACAUCAACUAGCCUUUUAUACAAAACUUUGUUAAUCCAACACAGGUGUGCAUUAAAGGAAAGAUAUAAAAGAACAAAAGGAACUCGGCAAACAUGAACCCCGCCUGUUUACCAAAAACAUCACCUCUAGCAUUCCAAGUAUUAGAGGCACUGCCUGCCCAGUGAAUAAACUUUUAACGGCCGCGGUAUCCUGACCGUGCAAAGGUAGCAUAAUCACUUGUCUCCUAAAUAGGGACUUGUAUGAAUGGCAUAACGAGGGUUCAACUGUCUCUUCUUCUUAAUCAAUGAAAUUGACCUACCCGUGCAGAGGCGGGUAUACUAAUAUAAGACGAGAAGACCCUGUGGAGCUUAAGACUAAUAACUUAAAUAAAACUAACACAAACCCUAGGGAAUAACAUUAUUAUCCUUAAGUUAUAUUCUUUGGUUGGGGUGACCUCGGAGAAUAAAAAAACCUCCGAAUGAUAUAACCUAGAUCAACCAAUCCAAGUGCACAAAAGCCAGUAAUUGACCCAAAUAUUGAUCAACGGAACAAGUUACCCCAGGGAUAACAGCGCAAUCCUAUUUAAGAGCCCAUAUCGAAAAUCUAGGGUUUACGACCUCGAUGUUGGAUCAGGACAUCCUAAUGGUGCAACCGCUAUUAAUGGUUCGUUUGUUCAACGAUUAAAGUCCUACGUGAUCUGAGUUCAGACCGGAGAAAUCCAGGUCGGUUUCUAUCUAUAUAUUAAUUUCUCCCAGUACGAAAGGACCAGAGAAAUAGGGCCAACGUUAUCCAUGCGCCCUCAUAAAAUUAAUGAAAUAUAUCUAAAUUAAUCCAUUAAAUCAUUAUCUACUCUAGAUAAGAGCCU